rnacentral:rRNA from 1 species
UACGUAGGGGGCUAGCGUUAUCCGGAAUUACUGGGCGUAAAGGGUGCGUAGGUGGUUUCUUAAGUCAGAGGUGAAAGGCUACGGCUCAACCGUAGUAGGCCUUUGAAACUGGGAAACUUGAGUGCAGGAGAGGAGAGUGGAAUUCCUAGUGUAGCGGUGAAAUGCGUAGAUAUUAGGAGGAACACCAGUUGCGAAGGCGGCUCUCUGGACUGUAACUGACACUGAGGCACGAAAGCGUGGGGAGCAAACAGG